UGGUUCAAUGGUUGAGAAUACUGGGCUGCUCUUCCAGAGGAUCUGGGUUCAGUUCCCAG
rnacentral:tRNA from 1 species